UUCGUUCGCACGAGUGUAGAAUUUUUCACGAGUUCUUCCUCGCCGUUCGACUUUGCUCCUUCGACGAUAUUACCUUCCUGUUCUGUUGGAUCGGAAGUUACGACAUUGUUUUUUGAUCUGAAGCAACAACGGGAGCUCGCUUGCCGUGAAGGUAACUUUCUCCCUUUCGCGCGCUUCUUCGACCAAAUCCCGUAAAUUCGCCGAACCAAAGCAUUUCGUAAAUCCGGGAUUUACCACGAAAAGAGGGAAUUUUCCGUCAACCGCGGCUUUGAUUUACCGUGAGAUUUGAUUUUGCAUUUUAGGCCGUUUGGCUGGAUUUCGCCCAAAUCCGGCCUAAAUCCGCAUACCAAACAGCCCCCCCUAGGGUUUAAACUCUUCAGUCUUUCGUUCAUCCUCUUCCAGUUUCUUCCUCAACAAUGGCGGAACCAUCGCCUUCGACGUCGAAGGAAGCUGUGCCCAUAUCUGCGGAACUCUAUCCAUCCGAGGAUGACCUCCCCUACGAAGAAGAAAUCCUCCGCAACCCUUUCAACCUAAUGCUGUGGUGGCGCUACCUUGUAGCCCGCGCCGAUGCGCCGUUCGAUAAGCGCCGCGUCAUAUACGAACGCGCCCUAAAGGCCUUACCGGGGAGCUACAAGCUGUGGCAAGCCUAUCUCCGGGAGCGGCUUGACCGCGUUCGCUCUUUUCCAAUCUCCCACGACCUCUACGGCCAUCUCAACAACACCUUCGAACGUGCCCUGAUUACCAUGCACAAGAUGCCCCGCAUCUGGAUCAUGUACCUCACUUCCCUUACCGAGCAGCGCCUCAUCACUCGUGCGCGCCGCACCUUCGACCGUGCCCUGUGCGCCCUGCCAGUCACCCAGCACGACCGCAUAUGGUCACCGUAUCUUACUCUUGUCUCGCUCCCCGGCGUCCCCGUGGAGACCUCCCUCCGCGUCUACCGUCGUUAUCUCCUUUUCGACCCUUCCCACAUUGAGGACUUCAUCGACUUCCUACUCCGCUCCCAGCUUUGGCAGGAGGCUUCCGAGCGCCUAGCAUCCGUCCUCAACGACGAUUCCUUCCAUUCCAUUAAGGGCAAGAACCGCCACCAGCUCUGGCUUGAGCUCUGUGACCUCCUCACAUGCCACGCUACGGAGGUAUCCGGUCUCAAGGUUGACGCCAUCAUCCGCGGGGGGAUCCGAAAGUACACCGAUGAGAUCGGUCGCCUAUGGACCUCUCUUGCUGAUUAUUACGUCCGCCGCAGCCUUUAUGAGAAGGCACGCGAUGUCUUCGAGGAGGGCCUCGCAAGUGUUGUCACUGUCAGAGAUUUCUCCGUCAUCUUCGACUCUUAUGCCCAGUUUGAGCAGAGCGCCCUCGCUGCUAAGAUUGAGACAACUGAAAACGGCUCAGAUGGCAGUGAUGGCGAUGAAGGCGGUGAUAAUAAUGGAAUCGACAAGCUUUCAAAGAAGUUUCUUGAAGAUUUCUGGUUAAAUGAUGAUGACGAUGCUGAUCUUAGGCUGGCGAGGCUUGAGAGUCUCUUUGAUCGUCGGCCAGAGCUGCUGAACAGUGUGUUAUUAAGGCAGAACCCACAUAAUGUAGAGCAGUGGCACAGGCGGGUGAAGCUUUUUGAGGGAAAUCCCACUAAGCAGAUAUUAACUUUCACUGAAGCAGUUAGGACAGUGGACCCAAUGAAGGCAGUGGGGAAGCCUCACACAUUGUGGGUUUCAUUUGCACGGUUGUAUGAGAACCAUAAUGAUCUGGUGAAUGCUAGAGUUAUAUUUGACAAGGCUGUGCAGGUCAACUACAAGACAGUUGACAAUCUGGCAAGUGUUUGGUGUGAGUGGGCUGAGAUGGAGCUGAGGCACAAGAAUUUCCAGGCAGCACUUGAGCUGAUGAGAAGAUCUACUGCAGAACCCUCCGUUGAGGUCAAAAGAAGAGUUGCUGCGGAUGGUAACGAGCCUGCACAGAUGAGGUUGCACAAGUCUUUGAGACUCUGGAGCUUUUACGUGGAUCUGGAAGAGAGUUUAGGAACGCUGGAAAGUACACGUACUGUGUAUGAGAGAAUACUUGAUCUGAGGAUUGCUACACCGCAAAUCAUACUGAAUUAUGCCUUUCUUCUUGAGGAGCACAAGUACUUUGAAGAUGCAUUUAAGGUGUAUGAAAGAGGCGUCAAGAUCUUUAAGUACCCUCAUGUGAAAGAUAUAUGGGUCACAUACCUCUCUAAGUUUGUUAAGAGAUAUGGAAAGACCAAGCUAGAGCGGGCAAGAGAGCUUUUUGAGCAUGCAAUUGAAAAGGCACCUGCACAAGAUGUGAAGCCAUUAUAUCUGCAAUAUGCUAAACUGGAGGAAGACUAUGGACUAGCGAAACGGGCAAUGAAAGUCUAUGACCAAGCUGUAAAAGCUGUCUCUGAUGGUGAAAAGCUGAGUAUGUAUGAGAUCUACAUCGCUCGUGCUGCUGAAAUUUUUGGCAUUCCAAAAACAAGGGAAAUUUAUGAGCAAGCCAUUGAGUCUGGCCUUCCAGAUAAUGCUGUUAAAACGAUGUGCAUGAAGUACGCUGAACUUGAGAGGAAUCUGGGAGAGAUUGAUCGGGCUCGUGCAGUUUUUGUGUUUGCAUCACAAUUUGCUGAUCCACGUUCUGAUUCUGAUUUUUGGAAGAAGUGGAAUGAUUUUGAAGUCCAACAUGGUAAUGAGGAUACAUUCAGGGAGAUGCUUCGUGUCAAACGCAGUGUCUUAGCUAGCUUUAGCCAGACUCAUUUGAUCCUUCCUGAAUAUUUAAUGCAAAAAGAUCAGAAAUUGAACCUAGAGGAAGCAGUGGACACUCUUAAGAGGGCCGGAGUUCCUGAAGAUGAAAUGGCUUCUUUAGAAAGACAAUUGGCUCCCUCCUCUGCUAACUUGUCUGCUAAAGAUGGAAGCAGAAUGAUGAACUUCAUAAGCGCUGGAGUUGAGUCACAGCCUAACAAUGAGAAGGUAAACGCUAACAAUGAGGAUAUAGAGUUGCCAGAAGAAAGUGAUUCAGAUGAUGAAAAAAUUGAAAUAGCUCAAAAGGAUGUCCCUGCUACUAUCUUUGGAGAAUUGGCACACAAAGUCACUGUAGAUCAGAAGGAAGUUGCUGGUUCUGAGGAAAGUGGGGUGAAUGCUCCUUUAGGUGCCCUUGAGAGAAUAAAGAGACAAAGAAGGCAGUAGUACACCUUGUUAACAAUGCUUCAAGUUUCUGAGUACAGUUUGAGGGAUGCUUUUGACCUGUAAACAACUGGACACACUGGGGAAAAAAGAUUCAUGUAGCCGACCCCACGUAGUGGGAAAAAGGCUUGAUGUUUUUGUUGUUGUAUGGCACUUGAAUACAAUAUUCAAAGUUCCUCCCACAACGUGGAUGUUGAAAGCUAGUCACCAAAAGAUAUGUUCGAGCAGUUACUAGAGGUGUGCAGGGUACACUUAAUGCUUAUUAUUGGCUUUAAAACAAUCUGGAACUCAGAUCAGAGGAGCCAACAAAGGUAUAGAUCUUGCUAGAAAAUGAUUAAAGGAAUGGCACUUGGAAUGCAGGUUUCUUACUCUUACCCUUUUUUGUUCAUCAAAUUUCCAUUUGCCUCUAAUAUUAUGGGCAGCUCUUCGCAGUUGGAGAGCUGUUGUUUGAAAUGCUGAUAAUAUUAUGUUUUCCUCUUUGAAUUUCUAAAAAAUCAUUAUCUUCAAGCUUUGUGGGGAUCUUUGAUUGAUCCCGCCUUUUUAAUCACGUAAGCCUGUCCAGCUAUUGUGACAGGUUUUAUAGUUCGUGAAAUUGAAGUUUAGGGUUCUUUUCUUCGAAUGAUUGUUAUUAGUACAUCUCAUUAAAUUUUAAUUUUGACAAUGUCAAAAUUUAAUGAACAAAUAAUUGAUGACAUGCAAGAUAAGUAGCGAGCAUUUUCAAAGGUUACUUUUGAAAUGUUGAUAUGGAACAUAAUAACAGCUGAAGUAGCUAUAUCAAGUUUAUGGUUGAUGAUUUCUCA